UCGCUUUGGCAGCGCACGUACUAAAACUGGAGCGAUGCAGAGAAGAGUAGCAUGGCCCCUGCACAAGGAUGACUCGCAAAUUCGUGAAGCCUUCCUAUUUUUG